UAGUCUGUGUCUGAUUCUCUUCUCUCUACAUCCAAGUGAAACUCUCCAACCAGAGGUUGGGUAUGGCAUUUGAGCUAGAUGUGGAAUUAGGAUUCAUCUAAAAGGACAUGUUUACUAAAUUUUUAGAACCAAAUAAGGACUCUGAGGGAGAAGGCAAACAAAGAAAAGCAGAGGGUAGAUAGAGGACACUCGGAACAGAAGAGAAGGGAGACUGGAAAAAAAGGAAAAGUGCUCAGAAGAGGAGCCGAGGCCUUGACUACGUAGAACCCUGGAGCUAUGAUUUGGACACGAUUGUCCACCCAGAGGCCAGUUCCCAGCCCCUCAGCAGCUGCAUGCAGCCAAGUGAGGAAUGUUUGCCAGAGGAAAUGUGAGCAGAAGGAUGUGGAAAUGAGGCUACUGAGCUCCCCCGGCUGUCACCUGCUCUCAUUAUAAAGAAAAUUUGUGCUCUUCUCAGUGAUGUCACUGCAAAGCUAAUGGCCAGGAAGGUGACAGAAGGGGCUCGUGCUUGGAACAUUCUGUUCCUAAGAAUCAGAUUUCCUGGGGAAAUUAGGCUGGAACAGGAGAGUUUUGGAAAACAUGCUUCAGUUCAGCUUUCAAAACAAGAACAAAGGGAAAAUAAAAACAAAAGAUGAGAAAACCACA